rnacentral:rRNA from 1 species
GGGGAUAGCAGCUGGAAACGGCUGGUAAUACCGCAUAAGCGCACAGGGGCGCAUGCCCUGGUGUGAAAAACUCCGGUGGUAUGGGAUGGGUCCGCGUCUGAUUAGGCAGUUGGCGGGGUAAAGGCCCACCAAACCGACGAUCAGUAGCCGGCCUGAGAGGGUGGGCGGCCACAUUGGGACUGAGACACGGCCCAAACUCCUACGGGAGGCAGCAGUGGGGAAUAUUGCACAAUGGGGGAAACCCUGAUGCAGCGACGCCGCGUGAGUGAAGGAGUAUUUCGGUAUGUAAAGCCCUAUCAGCAGGGAAGAUAAUGACGGUACCUGACUAAGAAGCCCCGGCUAACUACGUGCCAGCAGCCGCGGUAAUACGUAGGGGGCAAGCGUUAUCCGGAUUUACUGGGUGUAAAGGGAGCGUAGACGGCAGCGCAAGCCUGGAGUGAAAGGAUGGGGCCCAACCCCAUGACUGCUCUGGGAACUGUGCGGCUAGAGUGCCGGAGGGGUAAGCGGAAUUCCUAGUGUAGCGGUGAAAUGCGUAGAUAUUAGGAGGAACACCAGUGGCGAAGGCGGCUUACUGGACGGUAACUGACGUUGAGGCUCGAAAGCGUGGGGAGCAAACAGGAUUAGAUACCCUGGUAGUCCACGCCGUAAACG